rnacentral:rRNA from 1 species
AGAGUUUGAUUUUGGCUCAGGAUGAACGCUAGCUACAGGCUUAACACAUGCAAGUCGAGCGGUAUGUGCUUUAGUGCAUACAGCGGCAGACGGGUGAGUAACACGUAUCUAACCUUCCCCUUACUUGGGCAUAGCCUCUGGAAACGGAGAUUAAUUUCCGAUGUGGUGUACAUUUCGCAUGUUUUGCGCACCAAAGAUUUAUCGGUAAGGGAUGGGGAUGCGCUCCAUUAGGUUGUAGGUAGGGUAAUGGCCUACCUAGCCUAUGAUGGAUAGGGGUUCUGAGAGGAAGGUCCCCCACAUUGGAACUGCGACACGGUCCAAACUCCUACGGGAGGCAGCAGUGAGGAAUAUUGGUCAAUGGCCGGAAGGCUGAACCAGCCAAGUAGCGUGCAGGAUGACUGCCUUAUGGAUUGUAAACUUCUUUUGCAAGGGAAUAAAGUGGGGGACGUGUCCUCCUUUGCAUGUACCUUGCGAAUAAGGAUCGGCUAACUCCGUGCCAGCAGCCGCGGUAAUACGGAGGAUCCGAGCGUUAUCCGGAUUUAUUGGGUUUAAAGGGUGCGCAGGCGGGAUGUUAAGUCGGCGGUGAAAUUUUGCAGCUCAACUGUAAAAGUGCCUUCGAUACUGGCUUUCUUGAGUGUGGAUGAAGUAGGCGGAAUUUGUGGUGUAGCGGUGAAAUGCUUAGAUAUCACGAGGAACUCCGAUUGCGCAGGCAGCUUACUAAACCACUACUGACGCUCAUGCACGAAGGCGUGGGGAUCAAACAGGAUUAGAUACCCUGUUAGUCCACGCAGUAAACGAUGAAAGUAGCUGUUUGCGAUAACCGUAAGCGGCCGAGCGAAAGCAUAAAGUAAUCCACCCGGGGAGUACGUUCGCAAGAAUGAAACUCAAAGGAAUUGACGGGGGCCCGCACAAGCGGAGGAACAUGUGGUUUAAUUCGAUGAUACGCGAGGAACCUCACCCGGGCUUGAAAUGCAUCUGACCGAAGUGGAGACACUAUAUAUAACAAUAGCAGAUGUGUAGGUGCUGCAUGGUUGUCGUCAGCUCGUGCCGUGAGGUGUCGGCUUAAGUGCCAUAACGAGCGCAACCCUCCCCGUUAGUUGCCAUCAGGUUAUGCUGGGAACUCUAGCGGGACUGCCACCGUAAGGUGUGAGGAAGGUGGGGAGGACGUCAAAUCAGCACGGCCCUUAUGUCCGGGGCGACACACGUGUUACAAUGGGCGGUACAGAGGGAAGCUACCCGGUGACGGGAUGCUAAUCUUUAAAACCGUUCUCAGUUCGGAUCGGAGUCUGUAACUCCACUCUGUGAAGCUGGAUUCGCUAGUAAUCGCGCAUCAGCCAUGGCGCG